rnacentral:rRNA from 1 species
AACGAACGCUGGCGGCAUGCCUAACACAUGCAAGUCGAACGAGACCUUCGGGUCUAGUGGCGCACGGGUGCGUAACGCGUGGGAACCUGCCCUUAGGUUCGGAAUAACUCCCCGAAAGGGGUGCUAAUACCGGAUAAUGUCUUCGGCCCAAAGAUUUAUCGCCUUUGGAUGGGCCCGCGUUGGAUUAGCUAGUUGGUAGGGUAAAAGCCUACCAAGGCGACGAUCCAUAGAUGGUCUGAGAGGAUGAUCAGCCACACUGGGACUGAGACACGGCCCAGACUCCUACGGGAGGCAGCAGUGGGGAAUAUUGGAAAAUGGGCGAAAGCAUGAUGCAGCAAUGACGGGUGAGUGAUGAAGGCCUUAGGGUUGUAAAGCUCUUUUAACCGGGAUGAUAAUGACAGUACCGGGAGAAUAAGCUCCGGCUAACUCCGUG